GAGGCAGCCCCAUGGAGCCUGUCCACUAUGUCCUGGUGCCUUUUCAUGACCCAGAGACGGAGUUUCACCGUGUUAACCAGGAUGGUCUCCAUCUCCUGACCUCGUGAUCCGCCCGCCUCGGCCUCCCAAAGUGCUGGGAUUACAGGUGUGAGCCACCGUGCCCGGCCGCCAUUUUCAAUUCUCUCCAUUUCCUAUAGACAGAGAUUGGUAUCAAGAUGGGGUUGUUGGGGCCAGGCUUCUGGGAAGCAUCUGAGAUAACUAGCUACAUUGUAUUCCUUUUCCAUUGAUUAGAAGUUAGACUCUCUGGCUUGAGUCUGACUGUGUGUCUUUAGGCUGGUCAUGUAAACUUUCUUUGCCUCGAUUUCAUCAUCUGUAAAAUGGGUAUCAGUUAUCACAUCAGGGUGGGGCAGGAUGUUGGAAUGUCAUCAGUUAAGGCUAUUUUCACUUCUUUUGUGGAUCUUCAGUUGCUUCAGGCCAUCUGGAUGUAUAAGUGCCAGUCACAGGGGAUAUGAUUGGUUAGCUUGGGCUCAGAGGCCUGACACCUCCCUCAUCCUGCCUAACUCCCAGAGUUGAAAUGAUGAUCAAAUAAAAUGCCUACUGGACUGAGA
rnacentral:lncRNA from 10 species